rnacentral:rRNA from 1 species
UACGAAGGGGGCGAGCGUUGUUCGGAAUUACUGGGCGUAAAGAGUGUGUAGGCGGUGCUCCAAGUCUGGUGUGAAAUCUCCCGGCUUAACUGGGAGGGUGCAUUAGAAACUGGAAUGCUAGAGUACGAAAGAGGAUCGCGGAAUUCCCGGUGUAGAGGUGAAAUUCGUAGAUAUCGGGAGGAACACCGGUGGCGAAGGCGGCUCACUGGUCCGGUACUGACGCUGAGGUGCGAAAGCGUGGGGAGCAAACAGG